CGCGCCGCAGGCGAUCCGCGCGCCCCAGCCGCUCGGGUCGGUGGCGGGCAGCCGGCGCCGCGGGUCGACGGCGAGUUCGAUCCCGCCGUCGCGC
rnacentral:tRNA from 1 species